rnacentral:rRNA from 1 species
UACGUAGGGUGCAAGCGUUAAUCGGAAUUACUGGGCGUAAAGCGUGCGCAGGCGGUUUUGUAAGUCUGAUGUGAAAGCCCCGAGCUCAACUUGGGAAUGGCAUUGGAAACUGGCGGGCUGGAGUGUGGCAGAGGGGGGUGGAAUUCCACGUGUAGCAGUGAAAUGCGUAGAGAUGUGGAGGAACACCGAUGGCGAAGGCAGCCCCCUGGGCCAACACUGACGCUCAGGCACGAAAGCGUGGGGAGCAAACAGG